rnacentral:lncRNA from 1 species
AUGGGACUGGCUGGAUAUAGAAAGAUUUCUGGUAACCUCUGUCCUCUGCACAUCCUGACCACAGCUGGCACAGGGCUGUGUUCCCUUGAAGGAAAAGAGACUGUGUCUUCUUUGUUGGUCAUGGUGUUCCUACCACCUGACACAGAGCUGAGCAUACAGUGUAAACUCAGUGUAUUUGCUGAACAAGUAAAUGGAUGGAUAAAUGAAAAGGAGAUGGCUUCACAGAACUACAAUUCACCAAUUAAACUUCAGCUCUUUUUCAAGGAUAAUGAGUAACACAGUUGACAAGAUUUUCAACUUCAGCAUCACCAAAAUGUAGAAUUGCUGUUUUAUUUGUUCAGUAGUUCACUCCUAUGCAAAACCGUAGCUACAAUUUGAAGCUUUUUAAAGUUUCCUCCUUAGGGGCUUUAUCAGGUCACUGCUUGUAAAGAGUCUGAAUGCUCCCUUUUGUUUCUUGGGUAAUCUCAGUAAAAUUGAUCUAGUUACCAUGGGAUCUGUGUAUCUAUCACAGUGCCCAGGAACAAGGACCUUGGGCUCACAAGGCCACCAUUUGCUUUUUAGGUGACCCUGAGCAAGUUGUAUAACCUGUUGCAGCCUUAGUUUCAACUUCUCUAAAAGGAAGAUAUUAAUAAUAUAGAGCACUGUAGGGAUCCUGUGAGGAUUAAAUAAAAUAACUUAUAUAAACCAACACAUGAAAGUGACUUGUGCAUUACUGGGCCAUAGUAGAUGCUCAAUAAAUGUAAUGAAGGUUAUU